rnacentral:tRNA from 1 species
GAAAUAAGAUAUACAAGAAUAAGCUUCUAACUUAAUUCUUAAGCAAUGAAAUUUUGUUUUUAUUUCU